rnacentral:tRNA from 1 species
AGAGAUAUGGCUCAGUGGUAGGGCACUUGCCCAACAUGCAUGAAGCCCUGGGUUCCAUCCCUAGUACUGUUG